rnacentral:tRNA from 1 species
UCCCUGGUGGCUCAGAGGUUAAAGCAUCUGCCUGCAAUGCAGGAGGCCCAGGUUCGAUCCCUGGGUCUGGAA